GACGAACGCUGGCGGCGUGCUUAACACAUGCAAGUCGAACGAAGAGCGAUGGAAGCUUGCUUCUCUCAAUCUUAGUGGCGAACGGGUGAGUAACGCGUAAUCAACCUGCCCUUCAGAGGGGGACAACAGUUGGAAACGACUGCUAAUACCGCAUACGAUCUAAUCUCGGCAUCGAGGAUAGAUGAAAGGUGGCCUCUACAUGUAAGCUCUCACUGAAGGAGGGGAUUGCGUCUGAUUAGCUAGUUGGAGGGGUAACGGCCCACCAAGGCGAUGAUCAGUAGCCGGUCUGAGAGGAUGAACGGCCACAUUGGGACUGAGACACGGCCCAGACUCCUACGGGAGGCAGCAGUGGGGAAUCUUCCGCAAUGGACGAAAGUCUGACGGAGCAACGCCGCGUGAGUGAUGACGGCCUUCGGGUUGUAAAGCUCUGUUAAUCGGGACGAAAGGCCUUCUUGCGAAUAGGGAGAAGGAUUGACGGUACCGGAAUAGAAAGCCACGGCUAACUACGUG
rnacentral:rRNA from 1 species